rnacentral:rRNA from 4 species
GGGCGCACGGUGGAUGCCUUGACACUAGGAGUCGAUGAAGGACGGGACUAACGCCGAUAUGCUUCGGGGAGCUGUAAGUAAGCUUUGAUCCGAAGAUUUCCGAAUGGGGAAACCCACCAUACGUAAUGGUAUGGUAUCCUUAUCUGAAUACAUAGGGUAAGGAAGACAGACCCAGGGAACUGAAACAUCUAAGUACCUGGAGGAAGAGAAAGCAAAUGCGAUUUCCUGAGUAGCGGCGAGCGAAACGGAACAUAGCCCAAACCAAGAGGCUUGCCUCUUGGGGUUGUAGGACAUUCUAUACGGAGUUACAAAGGAACGAGGUAGACGAAGCGACCUGGAAAGGUCCGUCGUAGAGGGUAACAACCCCGUAGUCGAAACUUCGUUCUCUCUUGAAUGUAUCCUGAGUACGGCGGAACACGUGAAAUUCCGUCGGAAUCUGGGAGGACCAUCUCCCAAGGCUAAAUACUCCCUAGUGAUCGAUAGUGAACCAGUACCGUGAGGGAAAGGUGAAAAGCACCCCGGAAGGGGAGUGAAAGAGAUCCUGAAACCGUGUGCCUACAAAUAGUCAGAGCCCGUUAAUGGGUGAUGGUGUGCCUUUUGUAGAAUGAACCGGCGAGUUACGAUCCCGUGCGAGGUUAAGCUGAAGAGGCGGAGCCGCAGCGAAAGCGAGUCUGAAUAGGGCGUUUAGUACGUGGUCGUAGACCCGAAACCAGGUGAUCUACCCAUGUCCAGGGUGAAGUUCAGGUAACACUGAAUGGAGGCCCGAACCCACGCACGUUGAAAAGUGCGGGGAUGAGGUGUGGGUAGCGGAGAAAUUCCAAUCGAACCUGGAGAUAGCUGGUUCUCCCCGAAAUAGCUUUAGGGCUAGCCUUAAGUGUAAGAGUCUUGGAGGUAGAGCACUGAUUGGACUAGGGGUCCUCAUCGGAUUACCGAAUUCAGUCAAACUCCGAAUGCCAAUGACUUAUCCUUAGGAGUCAGACUGCGAGUGAUAAGAUCCGUAGUCAAAAGGGAAACAGCCCAGACCGCCAGCUAAGGUCCCAAAGUGUGUAUUAAGUGGAAAAGGAUGUGGAGUUGCUUAGACAACUAGGAUGUUGGCUUAGAAGCAGCCACCAUUUAAAGAGUGCGUAAUAGCUCACUAGUCGAGUGACUCUGCGCCGAAAAUGUACCGGGGCUAAAUACACCACCGAAGCUGCGGAUUGAUACCAAUGGUAUCAGUGGUAGGGGAGCGUUCUAAGGACAGUGAAGUCAGACCGGAAGGACUGGUGGAGUGCUUAGAAGUGAGAAUGCCGGUAUGAGUAGCGAAAGACGGGUGAGAAUCCCGUCCACCGAAUGCCUAAGGUUUCCUGAGGAAGGCUCGUCCGCUCAGGGUUAGUCAGGACCUAAGCCGAGGCCGACAGGCGUAGGCGAUGGACAACAGGUUGAUAUUCCUGUACCACCUCUUUAUCGUUUGAGCAAUGGAGGGACGCAGAAGGAUAGAAGAAGCGUGCGAUUGGUUGUGCACGUCCAAGCAGUUAGGCUGAUAAGUAGGCAAAUCCGCUUAUCGUGAAGGCUGAGCUGUGAUGGGGAAGCUCCUUAUGGAGCGAAGUCUUUGAUUCCCCGCUGCCAAGAAAAGCUUCUAGCGAGAUAAAAGGUGCCUGUACCGCAAACCGACACAGGUAGGCGAGGAGAGAAUCCUAAGGUGUGCGAGAGAACUCUGGUUAAGGAACUCGGCAAAAUGACCCCGUAACUUCGGGAGAAGGGGUGCUUUCUUAACGGAAAGCCGCAGUGAAUAGGCCCAAGCGACUGUUUAGCAAAAACACAGCUCUCUGCGAAGCCGUAAGGCGAAGUAUAGGGGGUGACACCUGCCCGGUGCUGGAAGGUUAAGGAGAGGGGUUAGCGUAAGCGAAGCUCUGAACUGAAGCCCCAGUAAACGGCGGCCGUAACUAUAACGGUCCUAAGGUAGCGAAAUUCCUUGUCGGGUAAGUUCCGACCCGCACGAAAGGUGUAACGAUUUGGGCACUGUCUCAACCAGAGACUCGGUGAAAUUAUAGUACCUGUGAAGAUGCAGGUUACCCGCGACAGGACGGAAAGACCCCGUGGAGCUUUACUGUAGCCUGAUAUUGAAUUUUGGUACAGUUUGUACAGGAUAGGCGGGAGCCUUUGAAACCGGAGCGCUAGCUUCGGUGGAGGCGCUGGUGGGAUACCGCCCUGACUGUAUUGAAAUUCUAACCUACGGGUCUUAUCGACCCGGGAGACAGUGUCAGGUGGGCAGUUUGACUGGGGCGGUCGCCUCCUAAAGUGUAACGGAGGCGCCCAAAGGUUCCCUCAGAAUGGUUGGAAAUCAUUCGUAGAGUGCAAAGGCAUAAGGGAGCUUGACUGCGAGACCUACAAGUCGAGCAGGGACGAAAGUCGGGCUUAGUGAUCCGGUGGUUCCGCAUGGAAGGGCCAUCGCUCAACGGAUAAAAGCUACCCCGGGGAUAACAGGCUUAUCUCCCCCAAGAGUCCACAUCGACGGGGAGGUUUGGCACCUCGAUGUCGGCUCAUCGCAUCCUGGGGCUGUAGUCGGUCCCAAGGGUUGGGCUGUUCGCCCAUUAAAGCGGUACGCGAGCUGGGUUCAGAACGUCGUGAGACAGUUCGGUCCCUAUCCGUCGUGGGCGUAGGAAAUUUGAGAGGAGCUGUCCUUAGUACGAGAGGACCGGGAUGGACGCACCGCUGGUGUACCAGUUGUUCUGCCAAGGGCAUAGCUGGGUAGCUAUGUGCGGAAGGGAUAAGUGCUGAAAGCAUCUAAGCAUGAAGCCCCCCUCAAGAUGAGAUUUCCCAUAGCGUAAGCUAGUAAGAUCCCUGAAAGAUGAUCAGGUUGAUAGGUUCGAGGUGGAAGCAUGGUGACAUGUGGAGCUGACGAAUACUAAUAGAUCGAGGACUUAACCAU